rnacentral:rRNA from 1 species
UACGUAGGGUGCAAGCGUUAAUCGGAAUUACUGGGCGUAAAGCGUGCGCAGGCGGCUUUGCAAGACAGAUGUGAAAUCCCCGGGCUUAACCUGGGAACUGCAUUUGUGACUGCAUGGCUGGAGUGCGGCAGAGGGGGAUGGAAUUCCGCGUGUAGCAGUGAAAUGCGUAGAUAUGCGGAGGAACACCGAUGGCGAAGGCAGCCCCCUGGGCCAAUACUGACGCUCAUGCACGAAAGCGUGGGGAGCAAACAGG